AGUCUUAUAGUUAAGUAAUAAUAUAAAAUUGCAAAUUUUAAGUUGGGUUAGCCCUAAGGCUU
rnacentral:tRNA from 1 species